rnacentral:rRNA from 1 species
GUCCACGCCUUAAACGAUGAGAGCUAGUUGUCAGUAAGCAUGCUUAUUGGUGACGCAGCUAACGCAUUAAGCUCUCCGCCUGGGGAGUACGGCCGCAAGGUUAAAACUCAAAGAAAUUGACGGGGGCCCGCACAAGCGGUGGAGCAUGUGGUUUAAUUCGAAGCAACGCGCAGAACCUUACCCACCUUUGACAUCCCGUGCUACCUAGAGAGAUCUAGGGUCCCUUCGGGGCGCGGAGACAGGUGCUGCAUGGCUGUCGU